rnacentral:lncRNA from 1 species
UUGUGUGGUUUGUUAUAUGAUUUUAUAAAACACUUGAUUUUGUCUUAAUGGCUUUUUAUUUGCAUUCCACUUCAGAUUUUACAAUCUGUAUUAUGAAAGCUUGAAAAUACAUUCUGGUUACUGAGGACUGAAUUCCCCAUGGGACAACACAUGUAGGAGACACCUGACACCACUGAAGUUUCUCUCAGAACAGACGGUCAUCAGAGGACAAAAGAAAUUCGUGACCAUAUUUUCUGGCGUCACCUAUAAAAUACUGAACUUGCAACAUUUUGAUCUUUUCUUUUUUUUUUUUUUUUCUUUUAUUAUUCAU